rnacentral:lncRNA from 1 species
GGUUCUUUAUAUGACGCAAAAUAUUACUAACCAGUAAAAGCGAAUGAAACCACCCUCUGUCUUCUAAGAAUUUUAUAUUGUUUGCUGAGUCUUUGAUCUUCAAUGAUGUGUUUAGUAUUAUUUGUUACUUUCAUAUUUAUCCAUGUAUGCGUUUCUUUGUGCUUAGUGUUCUUGUGAGUGUUUGUACUGUAUUCCUGUCCCAUAUUAUUGUAAUUUUAGCAGUAUUGUUUAACAUUGUCAUUUAAUUGGUAGGUUUUGCUAGCCAUAACAGCAGGUUCAAUUCACCAUCAAUACUUAAAAUGUCCGAUACAAAGACAGGAAUAUGCAGUUGUAAUCAAAAGUAUCUUUCUUUGUAUGUUGGCUUUGUUGUUCAAUUGCACUUAUAGUUGUUUGUUUUCCUUGGUUAGGGUUUGUUAACUGGAGGUUUUUGCAGUUGAUUUUAUUUAAUGAUGUUGUAUUUGCCAUUAUGGAUAUUCUUUUUUUACUCUCAUGAGCCUCUUCUAACCGAAAU